rnacentral:rRNA from 1 species
CCUACGGGAGGCAGCAGUGAGGAAUAUUGGUCAAUGGACGAGAGUCUGAACCAGCCAAGUAGCGUGAAGGAUGACUGCCCUAUGGGUUGUAAACUUCUUUUAUAUGGGAAUAAAACGUUCCACGUGUGGGAUUUUGUAUGUACCAUAUGAAUAAGGAUCGGCUAACUCCGUGCCAGCAGCCGCGGUAAUACGGAGGAUCCGAGCGUUAUCCGGAUUUAUUGGGUUUAAAGGGAGCGUAGGUGGAUUGUUAAGUCAGUUGUGAAAGUUUGCGGCUCAACCUUAAAAUUGCAGUUGAAACUGGCAGUCUUGAGUACAGUAGAGGUGGGCGGAAUUCGUGGUGUAGCGGUGAAAUGCUUAGAUAUCACGAAGAACUCCGAUUGCGAAGGCAGUUCACUGGACUGCAACUGACACUGAGGCUCGAAAGUGUGGGUAUCAAACAGGAUUAGAUACCCUUGUAGUC